rnacentral:rRNA from 1 species
CCCUACGGGGCGCAGCAGGCGCGAAAACUUUACAAUGCGGGAAACCGUGAUAAGGGAACUCCGAGUGUCCGUAAAUGCGGACUGUCCGUAUGUUUAAAAAGCAUGCGAAGAAAGGGCCGGGCAAGACCGGUGCCAGCCGCCGCGGUAAUACCGGCGGCUCGAGUGGUGGCCACUAUUACUGGGCUUAAAGCGUUCGUAGCUGGGUUGUUAAGUCUCUUGGGAAAUCUACCGGCUUAACCGAUGGGCGUCCAAGGGAUACUGGCAAUCUAGGGACCGGGAGAGGUGAGGGGUACUUCGGGGGUAGGAGUGAAAUCCUGUAAUCC